GGGUUGUGAGGUUAAGCGACUAAGCGUACACGGUGGAUGCCCUGGCAGUCAGAGGCGAUGAAGGACGUGCUAAUCUGCGAUAAGCGUCGGUAAGGUGAUAUGAACCGUUAUAACCGGCGAUUUCCGAAUGGGGAAACCCAGUGUGAUUCGUCACACUAUCAUUAACUGAAUCCAUAGGUUAAUGAGGCGAACCGGGGGAACUGAAACAUCUAAGUACCCCGAGGAAAAGAAAUCAACCGAGAUUCCCCCAGUAGCGGCGAGCGAACGGGGAGCAGCCCAGAGCCUGAAUCAGUGUGUGUGUUAGUGGAAGCGUCUGGAAAGGCGCGCGAUACAGGGUGACAGCCCCGUACACAAAAAUGCACAUACUGUGAGCUCGAUGAGUAGGGCGGGACACGUGGUAUCCUGUCUGAAUAUGGGGGGACCAUCCUCCAAGGCUAAAUACUCCUGACUGACCGAUAGUGAACCAGUACCGUGAGGGAAAGGCGAAAAGAACCCCGGCGAGGGGAGUGAAAAAGAACCUGAAACCGUGUACGUACAAGCAGUGGGAGCACAGAGCAAUCUGUGUGACUGCGUACCUUUUGUAUAAUGGGUCAGCGACUUAUAUUCUGUAGCAAGGUUAACCGAAUAGGGGAGCCGAAGGGAAACCGAGUCUUAACUGGGCGUUAAGUUGCAGGGUAUAGACCCGAAACCCGGUGAUCUAGCCAUGGGCAGGUUGAAGGUUGGGUAACACUAACUGGAGGACCGAACCGACUAAUGUUGAAAAAUUAGCGGAUGACUUGUGGCUGGGGGUGAAAGGCCAAUCAAACCGGGAGAUAGCUGGUUCUCCCCGAAAGCUAUUUAGGUAGCGCCUCGUGAAUUCAUCUCCGGGGGUAGAGCACUGUUUCGGCAAGGGGGUCAUCCCGACUUACCAACCCGAUGCAAACUGCGAAUACCGGAGAAUGUUAUCACGGGAGACACACGGCGGGUGCUAACGUCCGUCGUGAAGAGGGAAACAACCCAGACCGCCAGCUAAGGUCCCAAAGUCAUGGUUAAGUGGGAAACGAUGUGGGAAGGCCCAGACAGCCAGGAUGUUGGCUUAGAAGCAGCCAUCAUUUAAAGAAAGCGUAAUAGCUCACUGGUCGAGUCGGCCUGCGCGGAAGAUGUAACGGGGCUAAACCAUGCACCGAAGCUGCGGCAGCGACGCUGAUGCGUUGUUGGGUAGGGGAGCGUUCUGUAAGCCUGUGAAGGUGUGCUGUGAGGCAUGCUGGAGGUAUCAGAAGUGCGAAUGCUGACAUAAGUAACGAUAAAGCGGGUGAAAAGCCCGCUCGCCGGAAGACCAAGGGUUCCUGUCCAACGUUAAUCGGGGCAGGGUGAGUCGACCCCUAAGGCGAGGCCGAAAGGCGUAGUCGAUGGGAAACAGGUUAAUAUUCCUGUACUUGGUGUUACUGCGAAGGGGGGACGGAGAAGGCUAUGUUGGCCGGGCGACGGUUGUCCCGGUUUAAGCGUGUAGGCUGGUUUUCCAGGCAAAUCCGGAAAAUCAAGGCUGAGGCGUGAUGACGAGGCACUACGGUGCUGAAGCAACAAAUGCCCUGCUUCCAGGAAAAGCCUCUAAGCAUCAGGUAACAUCAAAUCGUACCCCAAACCGACACAGGUGGUCAGGUAGAGAAUACCAAGGCGCUUGAGAGAACUCGGGUGAAGGAACUAGGCAAAAUGGUGCCGUAACUUCGGGAGAAGGCACGCUGAUAUGUAGGUGAAGUCCCUCGCGGAUGGAGCUGAAAUCAGUCGAAGAUACCAGCUGGCUGCAACUGUUUAUUAAAAACACAGCACUGUGCAAACACGAAAGUGGACGUAUACGGUGUGACGCCUGCCCGGUGCCGGAAGGUUAAUUGAUGGGGUCAGCGCAAGCGAAGCUCUUGAUCGAAGCCCCGGUAAACGGCGGCCGUAACUAUAACGGUCCUAAGGUAGCGAAAUUCCUUGUCGGGUAAGUUCCGACCUGCACGAAUGGCGUAAUGAUGGCCAGGCUGUCUCCACCCGAGACUCAGUGAAAUUGAACUCGCUGUGAAGAUGCAGUGUACCCGCGGCAAGACGGAAAGACCCCGUGAACCUUUACUAUAGCUUGACACUGAACAUUGAGCCUUGAUGUGUAGGAUAGGUGGGAGGCUUUGAAGUGUGGACGCCAGUCUGCAUGGAGCCGACCUUGAAAUACCACCCUUUAAUGUUUGAUGUUCUAACGUUGACCCGUAAUCCGGGUUGCGGACAGUGUCUGGUGGGUAGUUUGACUGGGGCGGUCUCCUCCUAAAGAGUAACGGAGGAGCACGAAGGUUGGCUAAUCCUGGUCGGACAUCAGGAGGUUAGUGCAAUGGCAUAAGCCAGCUUGACUGCGAGCGUGACGGCGCGAGCAGGUGCGAAAGCAGGUCAUAGUGAUCCGGUGGUUCUGAAUGGAAGGGCCAUCGCUCAACGGAUAAAAGGUACUCCGGGGAUAACAGGCUGAUACCGCCCAAGAGUUCAUAUCGACGGCGGUGUUUGGCACCUCGAUGUCGGCUCAUCACAUCCUGGGGCUGAAGUAGGUCCCAAGGGUAUGGCUGUUCGCCAUUUAAAGUGGUACGCGAGCUGGGUUUAGAACGUCGUGAGACAGUUCGGUCCCUAUCUGCCGUGGGCGCUGGAGAACUGAGGGGGGCUGCUCCUAGUACGAGAGGACCGGAGUGGACGCAUCACUGGUGUUCGGGUUGUCAUGCCAAUGGCACUGCCCGGUAGCUAAAUGCGGAAGAGAUAAGUGCUGAAAGCAUCUAAGCACGAAACUUGCCCCGAGAUGAGUUCUCCCUGACUCCUUGAGAGUCCUGAAGGAACGUUGAAGACGACGACGUUGAUAGGCCGGGUGUGUAAGCGCAGCGAUGCGUUGAGCUAACCGGUACUAAUGAACCGUGAGGCUUAACCUUACAACGCCGAAG
rnacentral:rRNA from 1 species